rnacentral:misc_RNA from 1 species
GUGUAGUUGUCACUCCGUUUUUCAACAUGGCGGAGCUGUUGGAAGUAAAUAGAAAUGGAUUGGCCUCCUCUUUGUAGCCGAAUCAUCGAUUCGGCGAAGAAGGCAUGACCCCGCAUCGAGGGAGUAACUUUUCGCAAUAUAAAGGGAGGGGGGUGGCCAGAAGAAGCAGCAGCGGUGGGUGAUCCCCGCAGUGGGAAGGAGGCAGAGUGGCGGGGGAAGGCCCCGAGCGGCCGUCCGGGGGCGAGAUCCGGGUGGGGCCCGGGCACCAGGCACGGCUGCCCGAACUGCGGCCCGCCCACGAGCCCCCCGGCAUGCCCCGCGAGGAGCUGCGCUGGACGCCUGGGGUUCCCGAUUGCGACCUCAUGAUGUACCUCAGGGCCGCCAGGAGCAUGGCGGCAUUUGCGGGCAUGUGUGAUGGGGGCUCGGCGGAGGACGGGUGUUUGGCGGCCUCACGGGAUGACACGACCAUCAAUGCACUGGACCUGCUGCACGACAGCCAGUAUGACACGGGCCGCGCCCUGCAGGCUCUGGUCAAGAACCCCGUUCCCCGAGGCCUCGAUAAAAAGUGGACCGACGAGGACCAGAAACGCUUUGUCAAGGGCCUGAGGCAAUAUGGCAAAAACUUCUUCAAGAUACGCAAGGAGCUCCUCUCACAUAAGGAGACGGCUGACUUGGUGGAGUUCUACUACCUGUGGAAGAAGACCCCAGGCGCGGCGACUUCCCGGCCUCACCGGAGACACCGCAGGCAGAACGUGCUUCGGCGAAGCAGACCAUCAUCCCGACUGACCAAAGUGGCGCAGAAUGAAUUCGCGGAUGCGAGUUCAGCAAGCGAAGAAGAGGAGUCUGCUGAUGAUUCUGAUUCCCGGGAAGUGCCGGCCUACAUGUGCCACAGCUGCCUUGCUACCAGUUCGAAGGAGUGGUUCCAGACGGGGAAGGAGGGUUCGGUGCUCUGCUGGGACUGCUGCCAGCAGAAGAAGGGCACCGAGGCAGUGAGGCCUCUCUCGGCCAGUGAUGGGGACGGUGCCUCACCGUUCCUCUUCAAGCCUGUCGAUGGGGAUGCACUCAACGGCAAGCACGUGAUGCGUACCCGCCGAAACAAAGAGAACCAGAACCAUACGAAAGGCCGAAGUAAACACGGCGGCAACAAUGGGGGUGACGGAGCAAGCCCAGAGAUCAUGGAUGGAGCGCUCACUGCCAACAACCGCACCACGCUCGGAGGGCGCAAGUCACCCGCUGCCAGCACGGCUGAGAAAGACAAGAAAAAGAAGACAAAUCCUGACACUCCGACGAAAGGCAAAAAGCGAGGCCGUGACGAUGCUGCCCCUGCAUCCAAUGCACUCCCCACGACGCCAACGACGCCAAGCGCCUCUCCAGUGGAGGACUCUGCAGAAGCGGCAGCAGCUGUUGCUGUCGCGACUGCACCAUCUCCGGUAAAUGAGGAAGACGACAGAACGGCAGCAAGCUCGGCUGCCAAGAAGAAGAAGAGUGAGGCAGCCGAGAGCCCCGUUGACUCGCCGGGGGGAGCCGAGGGCCUUUCGAGCCGGAGCAGCAGUGUCGGUGGCGGUGCUGCCUCCAACGAAGAGAAUGCCCCGGAAGAACCUGAGGCGACGUCGGCCAGCCCUCCCAGCGUGUCACCGUCUCCAGUUGUGGCCCCAACCCCGGCGGCAGUGCCGCCAGUGACAGCUGUGGCUGAAGAGCCCUCGCAGGCCGCAUCAAUGCCACUGCAGCUACCGUCGCCAGUGGAGGAGGAGCGGCCGAGCUCUCGACCGAGCUCUCGGCCGAGCUCUCAGCAGCCAGAGCCUAGCCCUGUAGCAAAUGAUGGGCCACCAAAGGAAGCACGGUGUAGCCCAGCAGUCACAGAAGAUAUGCCAGUGGCCCUCCCCAUUUCACGACCACUAUGUCCUUCGCCUGUCUCCUUGGUGAUGCCAGGCAUGCCAAGCCAAGUACCACACCUGGAGCGCUCUCCACAGUUACUUCUGCCACGCAUGUCGCCGCCUGUGCCACCACCGGCACAUCAGCUGAUCGGCAGAGGGGUGCCAACACCUCCGACGCAAGCUCUGGCGCCAUCGCCCAAGUUGAUGAUGUCCGAGGACAAGUUCGAUCAAUUGCUUCCUCAGGCACCGCCCACUCUCUCUCUGCCAGACCCGAGAGUGAAGUCACCAGCAGCACCAGUUGAUGCCAUGCCGUUGUCCCUAAUUAAGAUGGAAGUGGAAGAGUCAAAGCCCCUCCGGUUGGUGUCGUCCCCAUUGUCACGUGGUCGCCCGACUCCCCCAUUGCCCCUGCCGGGAGGCAUCAACCCAUCUCUGGCAGCUCUGUCGGCCAUGCCUCCGCCCCCUGUGGAGCCCCUGCUCCCGUCGGGCAUGAUGCCCCCCACAGUCAAGAGCCACCUUGUGCGCAUCAAAGAAGAAAUGAGCGGACCGCCCACGCUCCUCAUGGAAGGGCCCCCCAGGGGGUUGCCUCAUAGUAGCAGCAGUGGGGUCGCUCCACUUCCACCGGAAGCCACGCAGUCAUUGGCUGCUAAUAGUUCACCGCUGGGGGCGCCCAGGGGCCUGUCUCCCCUGGCGCCCCUUCACCCCUCGUCCUCCUCCUGCUUGCCAGCAUCUUCUCUGGCGGCCGCUGGUGCCUCGGCUCCCCCUCGGUCCUCGCCGUGCUCUGUGCCCGGAGCCCCCGUGGACUACCCGGGCCCGCCCCCGCACCAUGUCAAAACCGAGCCCCCACCCUCUCCCCCAAAAGAGCGCAUGAGUGCCCCUUCCUCUCCUCACCACAUGCCCUCCUUUUCUCAUUCCUCCUCGCCAUCGCACGUCAAGCCGGUUCCAUGUUCUGUUCCCAUGCCGACAACCCCAACCUCCACACCCGCCUCCUCAGCCUCUGGCCACCACCACUACGCCUUUUCACCCCCUCUCUUUGCCACUUCCUCGGUGGCUGUGUCUACUUCCGCCUCUCCUUUGGGUGGUGGAUACCCGAGCCCGCUGGUCACUGUUGCUCGGCAGCACCCGGGGGCUGCACCUCCUCCCGGUGCACCGCCACAAAUGCAUCCGGGGUUCCCGUACUCACCCUACUUCAGCCCCCAGCUCUACUCCCCACACCUGCACUUUCCUCAGACGCAUCCACAGUUUGCCCCUCCUCCCGCACCUCCGCCGCCGGCCCAUCAGGCGACGGCGCCACAGCACCACUCCAAGACGCCCCCCUCGCGUGCCCCCGUGUCCAUGCCUCUCCCCCCUCAGCUUCCGCUGGACAGCGGUGGCGGGGGAAGCGGGCACCGGGUGGCCCCACCUUCCCACCACGGGGGCUCCGGUGGCCACCACAGUGGUGGGCUGUCGUCGCAUCACGGCAGCAGCUCCCACCAUGGUGGCCCCGUCCACCACGUUGUGCCCGAAGAGGAGGAGGAAGAGCCCGAGGCCCAGCAGCUGGUGAGGGGACCCAGCCCCGAGCCCAAGGUUGAAGACAGCGAAUGCCACCGCAGCCAGUCCGCCAUCUUUCUGCGGCACUGGAGUCGAGGCGAAUUCAACUCUUGCGCUCGCACGGACUUGACCUUCAAGCCCGUUCCUGAUUCGAAGCUGGCGAGAAAAAGGGAGGAGAGGGCACGCAAGGCAGCCGAGAAAGAAAGGGAGGAAGCCAAGCAACGGCUCAGCUCCUUGGAACACAGGAGCGGGGCGUCCGAGAACAAAGCGGGCCCCAGUGGCCACCCAUGCGACUUCCCCCCUGGUGCAAAUCCCUACCGGGCAGCACCCCAGCGCGGUGCCGCGACCAACCCGUAUGCGGCGGCAGCGGCAGCAGCAGCCGCAGCGGACACCCCGGCACUGCGGCAGCUGAGCGAAUAUGCUCGACCGCACGCAGGCUUCUCCCCCAGUGGAUACCCGUCACCCCGGUCCCAUCCGGCGGCUGCUGCAGCAGCUGCGGCUGCCGCCGCCAUGGACCCCAUGAUGCUACACUACCAACUGGGCAUGUAUGCUGCAGCAGCUGCUGCCUCGAGAGAGAACAGUCUCCGUUUGGACCUGGAGAUGGAGAAACGCGAGCUGCAGGACAAGCUAAAGGCCGAGCUGGAGCUCAAGUCACGGCUCCCUCAGGCGUACGACCCGCAUUGGCUGGAGCUGCAGCGGAGGUACGCGGCUGCGGCGGGGCUGGGGGCGGCCGGGGGCGCACUGGGGGCCGCUGCGGCGGGCAUGUCCCCCUUUGCGAUCUAUGGAGACCAACGAGAACGGCUGGGCUUGCCCCCCGACGACCGGCUCCACCCGGCCGCCGACCGCCUCGCCCUCGCUGCCGCCGAUCCCCUUCUGAGGUUACAGAUGGCAGGUGAGCUGCACGUCCCCCCGACGCAUGCGCACGCCCACACACACCUGCACCUGCACCCCCCUCAUCAUCAUGACCCACUCUCGGCAGCAGCAGUGGCCAUGGCGAUGCCCCCUGGCGGGGAGCCCCCUCCCUCGGCCGGGCCGUACGGAACUGGCUACCCACCUGGUGGGCCAGGUUCGGCGCCCCCUGGCAGUGGCGGUGGUCCUCCACGAGGCGCGCCACAUGGGCCCCCGCCAGGUGGCCCGCGGCCACAGGACCUGAUGCACCCUGCCGCUGCUGCACUUAUGCGUUCUUCCUACGAGGAGCAGCUCGCGCAUCAGAUCAAUGCAGCCCAAGUGGCGGCCGCCCAGCAGCAGCAAGAGCAGCUGCAGCGGCAGUUCCUGCUCGAGCGCGAGCGACUGGCCCACCUGAGUGCCCUGGGGGCAGCUCACGCGGCCUCGGCCCACCAGGCCUCGGCUGCGCAGCUGCUGCCCCAGCAUGAGGAGUUCCUACGGGCUUGUUCCACCGGGGCCCCUCCUGUUACUCACUCACUUACGUCCUUUGGGAGGAGCAGUUUUUUCUGACAGUGCAACUGCCUUCAGAAUUUCUGAGGGUCUGGCUGAGCUUCUGCAAACAGCCCAUAGCUUUGUGGAGGCAAACACCUGUGCACUGGAUGCUGUGAUACCGUUUGCUAGCUUCGCCUCGGAUGUGUCCGGACAGUUACGUGAAAAUUCGGACUAAGGUAAAUGGAAGCGCAAGUCAGCCUCAAGCAGCAGCUCUCCAACUGUACCUAUAGCUGCAUUUGCCAAGAUUUGCCUGCAAAGACCAGCACACGGGAACGUCUUAUGAUAGAUCAUGUGCAACACUCAUAGCCCAGCUGUUUGAAAUGUCAUACCGCAUUGGUCAUGACACAUGGCAUGCACUGGAGGACUGGCCAUGCAGCUGCAUGCUCUCUCUAGCUAUGGGUCAUCCACUGUAUUUACAUGUAACGUCUCGAUCACUGUUCAUAAUUAGAGGGGUGAGAAUAAGUUUGUGUGUAAUAGUAUAACUUAAGAUGUUAACUCCCUAGAUGGCUUUGAACUGUGAUGAUAGCAUAUCAAAAGUGCCAACUGUAAGUAUGAUGGUCCAGCUUAUCAGCAAGUCUGGUGAAUGGACAAGUUUAUUACAGACAUUGUUUGCUCGCUUUCUUAUUUUUUAUAUUGUUUUUGUGUUCUUAGUGUUUCGUUUGGUGGGGGCUAGUUGUAUGGAUACUUGCAUUUAGAAUGAUCGUAUGUCAUCAAACAGCAAGAAAACAACAGAGCCGCGCAAAAUGUUCAAUUUGCAAGCCAGGAUGCAUCGUUGCUUGGGUGCUACCUCUGGUUACAUAGCUGUACUUCCCAAGUGUUAUUUGAGAGAAACCUCAAAUCAGUUUAGAUUGAUAAAGUACUCUUUCAAAACUUCGAAUUUUGUGGUAAGAGGUUGUUCGUGAUAAAAGGAAAUGAAGGUAAAAGUUUUCCUUUAACGUUGCAACU